GACGAACGCUGGCGGCGUGCUUAACACAUGCAAGUCGAACGGAGUGGCGAACGGGUGAGUAACACGUGGGUGACCUGCCCUGCACUUCGGGAUAAGCCUGGGAAACUGGGUCUAAUACCGGAUAGUGUGGGAUGGGCCCGCGGCCUAUCAGCUUGUUGGUGGGGUAAUGGCCUACCAAGGCGGCGACGGGGAGCCGGCCGGGGAGGGGGGACGGCCACAUUGGGGCGGGUACACGGCCCAGACUCCUACGGGAGGCAGCAGUGUGGAAUAGUGCACAAUGGGAGGAAGCCUGAUGCAGCGACGCAGGGUGAGGGAUGACGGCCUUCGGGUUGUAAACUCCUUUCACCAUCGACGCGGUAGAUGGAGAAGAAGCACCGGCUAACUACGUGCCAGCAGCCGCGGUAAUAC
rnacentral:rRNA from 1 species